UUGGAGGGCAAGUCUGGUGCCAGCAGCCGCGGUAAUUCCAGCUCCAAUAGCGUAUAUUAAAGUUGUUGCAGUUAAAAAGCUCGUAGUUGAAUUUCGGGAUCAAUUUAUUGGUCGUGCCAACGGUACGCACUGGUACAAUUGGUUUCUCCCUUCUGACGAAGCAUGAUGUCAUUAAUUUGAUGUCGUGGGGAGUCAGGACUGUUACUUUGAAAAAAUUAGAGUGUUUAAAGCAGGCUUUGGCUUGAAUACAUUAGCAUGGAAUAAUGAAAUAGGACGUUUGAUCUUAUUUCGUUGGUUUCUAAGAUCGACGUAAUGAUUAAUAGGGAUAGUUGGGGGCAUUAGUAUUCAAUUGUCAGAGGUGAAAUUCUUGGAUUUAUUGAAGACUAACUACUGCGAAAGCAUUUGCCAAGGAUGUUUUCAUUAAUCAAGAACGAAAGUUAGGGGAUCGAAGACGAUCAGAUACCGUCGUAGUCUUAACCAUAAACUAUGCCGACUAGGGAUCGGAUGAUGUUAAUUUUUUAAUGACUCAUUCGGCGCCUUACGGGAAAC
rnacentral:rRNA from 1 species